rnacentral:tRNA from 1 species
AAGGCGUUAGUGUAACGGUAACACAUCGGCUUCCAAACCCGAUAAUGUAGGUUCGAUUCCUACACGCUUUGCCA